UAAAAGCACAUUUCGCCAGCACGU
rnacentral:piRNA from 2 species